rnacentral:rRNA from 1 species
UGGGGAAUUUUGGACAAUGGGCGCAAGCCUGAUCCAGCCAUGCCGCGUGCGGGAAGAAGGCCUUCGGGUUGUAAACCGCUUCUGUCAGGGAAGAAAUCUUCUGAGUUAAUACCUCGGGAGGAUGACGGUACCUGAAGAAUAAGCACCGGCUAACUACGUGCCAGCAGCCGCGGUAAUACGUAGGGUGCAAGCGUUAAUCGGAAUUACUGGGCGUAAAGCGUGCGCAGGCGGUUUUGUAAGACAGAGGUGAAAUCCCCGGGCUCAACCUGGGAACUGCCUUUGUGACUGCAAGGCUUGAGUGCGGCAGAGGGGGGAUGGAAUUCCGCGUGUAGCAGUGAAAUGCGUAGAUAUGCGGAGGAAACACCGAUGGCGAAGGCAAUCCCCUGGGCCUGCACUGACGCUCAUGCACGAAAGCGUGGGGAGCAAAACAGGAUUAGAUA